rnacentral:rRNA from 1 species
UGCGCAGGCGGACUCGUAAGUCAGUAGUGAAAUCCUGCAGCUUAACCGUAGAACUGUUAUUGAUACUGGUUUUCUUGAAUAUAGUUGAGGUAGGCGGAAUGUGUAAUGUAGCGGUGAAAUGCUUAGAUAUUACACAGAACACCGAUUGCGAAGGCAGCUUACUAAGCUAUGAUUGACGCUGAGGUACGAAAGCGUGGGGAGCGAACAGGAUUAGAUACCCUGGUAGUCC